GCCCCCAAUAAAGAUGGUGACGGUCACACGGGCCUAUCGCCAUCUGAGGCGUUGAUUUGUUUUCUGCAAACGUGAGUCUGGGAGUUUCAAAUGGGUGUGUUUUCCGACGUGCACUAACUGUUUGUAAAACUUCCAAACCCAUACGAAUAUCACUUCCCUCCAGCUUUCUACCGUUUUGCUUUCUUUACUGUGGCCUGCUCUUACCUCAAUUGCACAAAUCUUGGUCUCAGCGAAGGAUCUAGGCCCGAAACGUCAGCUUUCCUGCUGUGUACAUCCAGCUGCACACCGUGUUAUCUCGGAUUCUCCAGCAUCUGCAGUUCCGGUUAUCUCAGCGACUCUGCACCGCACUCGUGGAUGAUCACGUGGUUUUCACUGAUCCCGCCCUCCCUUCAUUCCGAUUGGGCGACAUCCGUCCGGUCAUGCACGGCACACCUGUGCUCCUAUUGGUCGCGCACUGACAUCAAUCAGCCGGACUUCACUGUGAGCUGGAGCAUGCGCAGUGCUUUGUGUUAUUGUUGGAAGCAAAUGAACGUCGUCGCAAUGUUGCAUUUUGAGACGAAUGAGACUGAAAACUGGAUCUGUCUUUUUACCUUCACAGAUGCUGCCAGACCUGCUGAGCUUUUCCAGCAACUUUGUUUUUGUUCCUGAUUGACAACAUCCCAGUUCUUUUGUUAUUUUUUAAUAAGUCGCGAUUGAAAAGGCUUCCGGCAGCUCAAAGCUAAAGACCAGAAAUAUGUGUGAAUUUCCACAUUGCUGUUUGUCCUUCCACUUGAGGAGGAGCAUUUGGAAUGGCAGGAAGCAGCUGACAUCAGUGAUGUUUGGCUGGAAGUACAAGGUGAAGCAGGAAAACUGCAGUAUGUUUCAGCAAUGCUUUUAAAACAAAAAUCGUAUCAUCUGAUUAAAUCAACGUGGUCAAUCCAGAAGAAGACAUUCCAUGAUGGAGACAGGGCAGUUGCAGGUAAGUUCAAGGUCACCCUGGGGCCAGGCAUGUUUGACAAUUUCAUUCCUUUUUCAGAGUCAAACAAGUGAGGUCGCAAAGAGGAAACCAACAGCUGCAUAACACCUGGAUCCCCAAGAGGCAUUUUGUAGGGUGUCACACUGGUGGCUAAUAGAUAAGAUAAGGGCUCUGGAACUGAAGGUAAUGUAUGAGCAUGAAUAGAGAGUUGGUGAAC